rnacentral:rRNA from 1 species
CNNNNUNACUCGGAGACGCUGGCGGCGUGCUUAACACAUGCAAGUCGAGCGAAGGAAGGCUAGCUUGGUUUUCUUUCCUUGGACGGGGGAGGGAGAGUUGCACGUGCUGACUUUACCAUGGGGAGGGGAAUCACAAGGGAAAAUUAAUGCUAAUACCUAUGAUUUCUCAGCCUGCGAAUGACGUAAUGGGUAAAGGAGAAUUCCGCAUGAGCAUGGGCCGGCGUCCCUUUUUGGAGUGGGUGGGAUAACCCCCCGCGAGGCGACUAUGGGACCCGACCUGAGAGGGUGAACGUUGGGUUGAAACUGAGACAAGAUCCAUACUCCUACGGGAGGUGGGGAGGGGGAUAUUGGGGGAUGGGGCGGACCCUGAUGCCCCCACGGCGUGUGGACGGUCUUCGGGUUCGGAAUGUCUGGCUCUGUCGUCGCUGACGAAAAUGACCGGAAGAGGAAGAGGAAGCCAACGCUAAGUCCGUGCCCGCGGCCGUAGUAAUACGGAGGUGGGGAUCGUUGUUUACAAUUACUGGGCGUAAAGGGUGCGGAAGUUUUUUUUUUAAUGGGGAAGUGAAAUCCCUUAAGCUUAACAAUUGCAAUUGCAUUCCGAAAUUCUAAAGCUAGAGGACAGGAAAACGAAAACUCCUAUUCCCAGCGGUAGAAGUGAAUAUGCGAUAUAAGAAUGAACAGCAACACGCGAAGGCGGAGUUCGGUUUCUGUGACUGUAACUGACGCUGAGGAGCGAGAGCGAGGGGAAACAGACAAGAUUACAUACCCUGCUCGUCCGCCAACCUAUAGCGAAGAAUAUGUAGGGGUGUGGGGAUAUCUCUUCUGUNCNCACACAACAAAUAAACCGUCCUGGCGAGGGCAGGUCGCACGAUAGAAUUNNACUCAAUGGACUGACGGNNGGGCNGNUAANNAACGNNNNUGUGAUUUCUAUUNNUCGCNACNNANNNAAC